GCCCCCCGUCCCCCUGGCAAGUGACUCUGGCUGGACCUCCCUGAGCAGCAGUCUGGAGGGGCUUGGAGAGAAGGAUAUGGAGGGUCCAUCUGACAUCUGAGUUUGCUGGAUCAACAGGCUAAGCCCUUGUGGCCAACAGCAGAGAACAGGAGGGACCCAGGGGCACCAAUGCCUGAGCCCUCUGCAAUGGCAGGGGACUGAUUCGCUGGCAGAUCAUCCCAGUAGGUGACACCUGCCAAGG